CCAAGCGGUAUGAGGGAUGAAGUACUUUGCCGCAAAAAAUUUCUUUGUUACAGAUGAAUACAUACGUACUGAAAAUUGCUAACGGAUGAAUGGUCCUAGUAAAGUGAAUAGCGCCACAAGCUCUCCUUCACCGUGUUUACAUCACUGAGUUCAACAUGGUAAAAAAAUAUCUUGUGGCAAAUCAUAAUGUUGAACGGGACACCUUAUCCUUCUGUAACGUCGAUGAAGAAACUAUUACUUUGGACCAAACAAUUCAACGGAGGAGCUGCUUUUGCACACAGGCCACAAAUGUUAUAUGAUGAAUUAUAUAUGACAUAUAUCUUAUAUUAAGAGACAAAAUAUCUUUAAGCUUCACCUUGUCUUUUUUUCUUUGUGGCUUGUGAAAUUGUUAUGUAAAGUGUAGUCAGGAUAUUCUUAUUCAAGGUUCACUGUUAAUUUCACAUAUAAAAGCUGAAGAAGGAAACAGCGUCAUAGAAAUGUCGAAACAACACAACAGCACACUCAGCAUGCAUUGAAGACAUCUGUGGAUUUUCAGGGUGUUUGAUAGCUGAUCAUGCAGACGAAAGAUGGAG